rnacentral:rRNA from 1 species
UACGGGGGGGGCAAGCGUUGUUCGGAAUUACUGGGCGUAAAGGGUUUGUAGGUGGCCGACUAAGUCAGACGUGAAAUCCCUCAGCUUAACUGGGGAACUGCGUCUGGGACUGGUCGGCUUGAGGGUCGGAGAGGAACGCGGAAUUCCAGGUGUAGCGGUGAAAUGCGUAGAUAUCUGGAGGAACACCGGUGGCGAAGGCGGCGUUCUGGACGGCAUCUGACACUGAGAAACGAAAGCCAGGGGAGCAAACGGG